rfam:Cavia porcellus supercont2_10 genomic scaffold, whole genome shotgun sequence.
GGGGAUUUAGCUCAGCGGCAUAAGCACCUGCCUUGCAAGCAGGUGGUCGUGUGUUCGAUUCCCG